UUCACAAGAACUUGCCAUAUCUCUCUCGUUCCUUCAUAUACUCAUCCAUCGUCUUUAUAGUCUAAAAUUUUGCAACCGGUGCAGCAAUUUCAGAACAACAUCGUUACUUCAUAAAUGAGGAUUCUUUUUAAUCCUUUCCAAGAUAUUUUUACUACGACAGCUAUGCAUCUAUGGUUCCACCAGUGACCCAUUUAUUUUCAUCUGUUGAUUUGAACUCUAUCCCUACCUAUGAGAAAUUCGAAUCUACUCCCAAAGUUUAGAGUAAAAUAGGUUGCGGGUGUUGUUGUUAGGAUUUAAAUUUUUUGUCAUGUUUAAGAGAAGUGGGUUACCCAUAAUACUUUGCUUCGAAGGAAGAACAUCUUGCUUCAUUGACUCUUCUUCAGGAUUCUCCUUGUGCUGCUCAGACUUCAGAUUCAGCUUUCAACUCUUGAAACUAGAACUAGUGGGACACGACCACCUAGUGAAGUUCAAGGAAGAUGUUACAACCAUCGUUCAAUCAUGACAAUUGCAUUCUAGUUUAUUUUUUAGAAUAAAUAUCGAGAAAAUAUUGCUGCUAUGGCUCGUAAAUAUGUAUGAAGCAUUGUCGGCUCUGUUCAGAAGUUGCUAAAGCUAUUGCACCCUCUCAACUCUGCUCGCAGUUGACACCAAAAUCUUUCUCUUGGUCACUGUAAACUGUCACUUUGGGGGAUGAAUUUGCAGUAACUCUAUGUAUGGGUUCUAACUUCUAAGUUAUUUGCAACAGUAAUUCAUAGUUAUCUAAGUUUUGUACCACCAAUUUGUGAACUUGUGAUUCCUAAUGUAUGCCGAUAAAUAUCUU